rnacentral:misc_RNA from 1 species
UAUAAUUUUACUUUUGUCCAACAGAGUAGCCACAUGUGUGGAGUGUCGACAUUGAAAGCUGCCAAAAAUAAACCUGUUUCAUUUAGAAGUUUGGAUGAAACCGGCAUAAGCAUGGCUUCCUAUCGACAUGGAAUUAUUCUUGAUGCAUUAAAUAUGUAUCAGGGAGAGCUCUACAGUUAUGCCUACUAUUUGCAAAUGAACCGUUUACAAAAUGUGACCUUCAUAUGCCAGGAUAUCAUCUGUAAAUACUGGCCAUGGGCUUUAAAGGUUUCAUCAAGAGAACAGAAGUUCUCAGUUGGUUUUGUAUGGAGGGCGGUGGCAAGAAGGAAGUGGCCUGACAUCUGGGGAGGAGGCAGAGCAAGUAUUUUCCUACCUUUCAACAUAUAACAACAACACUAAGAACAUGCUUAAAGCUGAGCGUACAGAAAAACUGACAGAGGCGGCACUCUUUUGGAAUCACAGAAAAAUUAAUGGAAUGCCUCGGGCAUUAGUUGCCAGAUUCAGAAAGUGUCCCUGACUGAAAAAAGAAGUGCAGUGGAAAAGUUUGAGCUCCAGAAGAGAUGUAGAGAGGAGGAAUCACUAACCAUUCAAGAAAUGAUAACAUGGUUACAGUACUACAUAAAGAAAAGUGACAAACCAUCCGAGUAUAUUCAAGAAUUACAAUGUGAUUCUUUCCCUUCAUGUCUCUGCAAGCUAUUGGCUCAGCUGCCUUCGGGCCGGGCACAGCUGCUGAUGUACCGGCUGACGUGGAUACGCUGCCGAUGACCCAUGGAGCUGAUGGGCCAGCUGAGCGUGCCCCCUGGGGGCCACGCCCAGCCCCCCCCCUCCUGGGGCAGCCGCUGAUGUUCCGGCUGUUGUGGUCCCAGCCGAUGAUCCAACUGCUGAUGGCACAGCUGGCGGUGUUCCAGCUGAGCAUGCCCCCGGGGGCCAAGCACAGCUGCUGAUGUCCCGGCUGAUGUGGUCCCAGCCGAUGAUCCAGCAGCUGAUGGCCCUUCCGGUGGUGUUCCAGCUGAGCAUGCCCCUGGGGGCCAAGCACAGUUGCUGACGUUCCGGCCGAUGUGGUCCCAGCCGAUGAUCCAGCAGCUGAUGGCCCAACUGGGGGUUUUCCAGCUGAGCAUGCCCAUGGGGGCCAAGCACAGCUGCUGAGGUUCCGGUUGACGUGGUCCCAGCCGAUGAUCCAGCAGGUGGUGGCCCAGCUGGUGGUGUUCCAGCUGAGCAUGCCCCUGGGGGCGAAGCAAAGUUGCUGAUUUUCCGGCCGAUGUGGUCCCAGCCGAUGAUCCAGCAGCUGAUGGCCCAGCUGAGCAUGCCCCUGGGGGCCAAGCACAGUUGCUGACGUUCCGGCCGAUGUAGUCCCGGCCGAUGAUCCAGCAGCUGAUGGCCCAGCUGGGGGUUUUCCAGCUGAGCAUGCCCAUGGGGGCCAAGCACAGCUGCUGAGGUUCCGGCUGACGUGGUCCCAGCCGAUGAUCCAGCAGCUGAUGGCCCAGCUGGUGGUGUUCCAAGCUGAGCACGCCUCUGGGGGCCGAGCACAGCUGCUGACGUGCCGACUGUUGUGGUCCCAGCCGAUGAGCCAGCAGCUGCAGGCUCAGCUGACGGUCUUACAGCUGAGCAUGCCUUGUAAUUAAUCACUGUGAUUAUUGUUAAUUAAUUGUUUGCAGUUGUUUAAUUAUUAUUUAUAUGCUGCCGGUGACCCAGCGGCUGAAGGUCCAGCCGAGCAAGCCCAUAUAAUCACCCAUUAUUAUGAGUAUUGUCAAUUAAUUAUUAGUAGCUAAUAAUAGCAGCCGAAGGCUCAGCUGGUGGUAUUGCAGCCGAGCAUGCACAGUCACUCUCAUUAUUUAUAUACAAUUUCUGUUAUUUAUAUUUGUUAUUCUUCAUAUUCCUUUCUAAUUUAUGUAUUAUAUAUUGUUUGUUUUUUUGUCGGGCCAGACCCAGCUGCUGAGGUGCCGGCUGACGUAGUACAUGCCGAUGUUCCCGCAGCUGAGGGCCCAGCUGGUAGUGUUUCGGCCACUGGGCGAGGCCCAGCUGUUGGGCCAGCUGGUGGUGUGCCAGAUGUGCACGACACCGGGGGGCCUAGCCCAGCUCUGGAUGUCCCGGCUGACGAGUUUUCAGCCGAUGACCCAGCAGCUGAGGUUCCGGAAGGAGGUAUCCAGCCGACGAUGUCCCAUCUGCUGAAGUAGACAUUUAGCGGCGUCCAACCGAAGAUGCAGCAUCUGCAAUGGUCCAGCUGCCAAGGCUACAGAUGGCGUGUCCCAGCCGAGGAAUUUCACGAGAGAAGAAGGGAAGACCGCAUUUUCUCUACAUUCUUAAUAAUAAUUUCGUUACAAUUCUAAUUCGUCUUGAUGAGCGUAAGUGGUCACACAGUUCUCCACUCAGUUAUGCUGGGGCUUCAUUCAGAUAUACCCAUUCCUGCCUUACGCAACAGGUGUCGCAUCCAGUUAUUACCACUCUCGCAGCCUAAGUUGCCAGCAAUACGCUUUGAUGCGGGUCCCACGCACCUGUGCCUUUGCUUUUCACGUUACCUCUGCACACCAGCUCCUGCCCACCCUUACUGCUUUAAUACUUCCAGAUCCACAAUAGAACGAGGACGAAGAAAACCUGUGAUGAUGGACCACGGCUCUCAUGCCCAACGUGCGAGGUAUCCUGGGAGGUGACCGACACGCUUUUAAGCCGACACCUCCACUCCACACCCGCGGGGCUCACCACAGCGACAAUAACCAACACGGGGUCGACCCUGGGGAGUCGGCCUCGGAGUGGACAGCGUUCACAUUCCCACACCCGCCCUGGGGCCAGCCUUCCAGGACUGGUCUCUGUGAGAGCGGGCUACUACGACGAAGAUAUACACGGGAUCGACCAGUCAUUUGCCAUGGUGGAAAGCACUCCCUGCUUGGAGUGCAAACCCGGCAGUAGGUACUCCUCCCAGGGCACAGUCGGUGGGCCAUCCCGCCUCUCUGCUCCAUUACUCGUCAAGAUGGAGCUCCGUCGGCCCACCAAGCGAGCUGCGUCUGUUAGCAGCAUCUGUCUAGUAGACCCGGAAUGGUACGUUUUUCAGUCAGGAAAACCUGAUUGUUUUUUAAUGGCCUCUCCGGGCAUACGGGCACGCUUACGGCCACGGUAGCAAGUUGUCAUGUUCCUACUUAUAGUAGCCAGCUUCCGCUCGCCCUUCAGGGGUGGGGGUUCCGCGCCGCUGGCCCUCAACGGGGUUGGGGGUGCUCCGACGGAACCCCCAAAACUAAUUAGAGAUGUCACUUCACUGUAUUUGAUUUAAUCAUCAUUAUAACGGCUAUCCAUUAAUAUUAUUUCAGUAUAAUAAUUUAUGGUUAUUCACUAAUCAUUAUUAGCCACCAUAAUUAAUUAUCCACUUUAAUUAUCUAUUUAUUCGUUAUACUGAGCUAGUAUGCUUCUUCAUUUAAGGAUUAUCAAUUACUUAAUCACUUAUGAGUAUUAAUUAAUUAUUUGUAUUUAAUAAAUAAUUAAUUAUUAUUAUUAUUAUAAAAAUAAAUUAAGUCCCACUCUGUGAGCGUUUUCUUCCAACCGCAGAAAUAGUCACUGCUUUUCUCAAAAGCGGUGAAGUUCUGCGGGGAAGGAAAACGUAUUACCAUGAUUUUGUGUCUAACCGACUAUAAGUAGCGCGCGCGCAUCGAGUGGGGUACUUAAACGCGCGCGCGCCGACUCGGCGACCUCUUGCUCGCCUCCUCCUCGCCAGUACACUACAAAACGCCCACCCUCCUCCCGGGAAACCCGCAUACUAAUUCAAAUUAAAAAACAUAUUGGAAAUAAUAGCUAGGCUAACCUAACACAAUGACAUAACAUAACACAUCUUUAUUUGUAAUUUUGUCACAAGCUGAUUAAAUGAUAUUUUUUACCUGCUAGUAUGCUGGCUGGGGUCGAUCUUCCAGGCAUAUAUUUUUUUUUUUUUGAGAUAUAUACUAGAGUUGCUACAUUCUUGUACAACCACUAGUACGUGUAGCGUUUCGGGCAGGU